rnacentral:rRNA from 1 species
AAUGCAGCUCCAAGCGGGUGGUAAAUUCCAUCUAAGGCUAAAUACUGGCGAGAGACCGAUAGCGAACAAGUACUGUGAAGGAAAGAUGAAAAGCACUUUGAAAAGAGAGUGAAACAGCACGUGAAAUUGUUGAAAGGGAAGGGUAUUGCGCCCGACAUGGGGAUUGCGCACCGCUGCCUCUCGUGGGCGGCGCUCUGGGCUUUCCCUGGGCCAGCAUCGGUUCUUGCUGCAGGAGAAGGGGUUCUGGAACGUGGCUCUUUUGCUUAUUAUUCCAGGGCCAGAUGCUGCGUGCGGGGACCGA